rnacentral:rRNA from 1 species
AUACGGAGGAUGCGAGCGUUAUCCGGAUUUAUUGGGUUUAAAGGGAGCGUAGGUGGGAUAUUAAGUCAGCUGUGAAAGUUUGGGGCUCAACCUUAAAAUUGCAGUUGAUACUGGUUUCCUUGAGUACGGUAUAGGUGGGCGGAAUUAGUGGUGUAGCGAUGAAAUGCUUAGAUAUCACGAAGAACUCCGAUCGCGAAGGCAGCUCACCGGGCCGGAACUGACACUGAUGCUCGAAAGUGCGGGUAUCAAACAGGAUUAGAUACCCUGGUAGUCCGCACAGUAAACGAUGAAUACUCGCUGUUUGCGAUACACUGUAAGCGGCCAAGCGAAAGCGUUAAGUAUUCCACCUGGGGAGUACGCCGGCAACGGUGAAACUCAAAGGAAUUGGCGGGG